rnacentral:rRNA from 1 species
CCUACGGGUGGCUGCAGUGGGGAAUAUUGCACAAUGGGGGAAACCCUGAUGCAGCGACGCCGCGUGAGUGAAGAAGUAAUUCGUUAUGUAAAGCUCUAUCAUCAGAGAAGAAAAUGACGGUACCUGAGAAAUAAGCACCGGCUAACUACGUGCCAGCAGCCGCGGGUAUAAGGAGGGGGCAAGCGUUAGCCGGAUUUACUGGGUGGAAAGGGAGCGUGGAUGGGAUAGCAAGGCUGGAGGGUAAGGCGGGGGGCCAACCCCCGGUCUGCUUUGGAAACUGUACGGCUGGAGUGCAGGAGAGGUAAGUGGAAUUCCAAGUGUAGCGGUGAAAUGCGUAGAUAUUAGGAGGAACACCAGUGGCGAAGGCGGCUUACUGGAUUGUAACUGACGUUGAGGCUCGAAAGCGUGGGGAGCAAACAGGAUUAGAUACCCCAGUAGUC